rnacentral:rRNA from 1 species
AUUGAACGCUGGCGGCAGGCCUAACACAUGCAAGUCGAACGGUAACAGGAAGCAGCUUGCUGCUUUGCUGACGAGUGGCGGACGGGUGAGUAAUGUCUGGGAAACUGCCCGAUGGAGGGGGAUAACUACUGGAAACGGUAGCUAAUACCGCAUAACGUCGCAAGACCAAAGAGGGGGACCUUAGGGCCUCUUGCCAUCGGAUGUGCCCAGAUGGGAUUAGCUAGUAGGUGGGGUAACGGCUCACCUAGGCGACGAUCCCUAGCUGGUCUGAGAGGAUGACCAGACACACUGGAACUGAGACAAGGUCCAGACUCCUAAGGGAGGCAGCAGUGGGGAAUAUUGCACAAUGGGCGCAAGCCUGAUGCAGCCAUGCCGCGUGUAUGAAGAAGGCCUUCGGGUUGUAAAGUACUUUCAGCGGGGAGGAAGGGAGUAAAGUUAAUACCUUUGCUCAUUGACGUUACCCGCAGAAGAAGCACCGGCUAACUCCGUG